UGAGUUAAGAAAAGUACUUGUUGCUGGAUGUGGCAACUUCAACCUAUGGUGGACCCGUUUUCCGGCCCACAAAACAGCCUCACAGGUCCUCGUAAAAGGACCGAGGCAGAAUGUCUGAUGCUGCCCCUGCCCCAGAGAAUCCAGGGCAGUCUGUCACUGCAUUUGUGCCUGUCACGUUCCGCAUGUCUCUGGGAAGGGAUCCACUAGUGCAGGGAGAGGUCUGUCCAGCAACUUACUACAAGGAGAAAGACAGGACAUGAGGAGACACUGGGCCUCAAGAGCCUGCAGACUUUCCAUGUAGAAACCCACAUGCAGUUCCCCCGGCAUCCACGAGGGGCAUCUCCUCUUACAAGGAGCUUUCAUAUAUAUUACUUUUCCUGAUUCUGCCAGAGCUAUGGGGUCUGGGACAAAGAAUUGUUAAAGUUCUGUUCUCUGCAGGUAGUGCACUGGGGGCUCCCCUACAGCUGUCCCAGACAGUCUCACUCUCCAGGCGUCAUGGUUUUCCUUCCCUACCCGCCCCCCAACCAACUGCUGACGUCACAGAGGAAGAAUGCAGCUGCGGUGUGAUUCACUGACUUCUCAUGGUCACGUGACUAAUAGGAAAUAGGUUCACAACUGGACACUGUCCUCUCCUAUUUACUAGGACAGGAUGGUGUACCUAGUGUCACCAUUUCCCAGCUGAGGAAGUCAAGGCCCUGAAACACCACGCAGAUGGCAAGUUCCUCAUGGAAAAGAGGAGACCUUUUGAUCCCAACAUCCCCACAGUGCCCAACACCAAGGCUGGCUCCCAAAGACCUGAAGCAUGGAUUGCUGGGUUGUUGGAUAAACUGACUAUUAGGCACAGCUAGCUGAAAGGCCAUCUUCCCCAAGGAGGCUUCACGUCCUCACCAUUUUAAUCCCCCUCUUCACCUCCCGCAUGCUGCUCUUCUCUGCACUUGUGGGCAUCUGCUCUGUUAUGUUACCUGUUCCUUUGGGAGCUGUCAAGGCCAUCUUUGUAUCCUUAAUAAAUGUUGACGAGCAAACACGUAAAGGAAUGCAUGGACAUAUGGGUGGGUGGAUGGAUGGAUGGAUGGAUGGAUGACCGGACACAUGGAUGCAUGGGUGGAUGGACUCGUCAAUAAACAAAUGUACACAGAGAUAAGAGGAGGGAAACACGAAGUACUGGGACACAGGGGUUAAGAGGUUGUAUAGUGGAAAAAAACAGUGGAUCCCAUGGCAGAGGCUCCAAAUUCUAUAGAGCUUUAUCCCUCACUUGCUGUGUGAUCUAGGAAAAGUUACUACUUCUCUCCUGGGCUCUUUGUACUUGUGUUUAAAAAGAAGGGUUGCAAAGGACUAGAACUGUUGCAACUCCCCAUUCUCCGGUUCUGUGAAUGGAAAGUUCACCCUUGAACAAACCCAUUAACGGAUGUUUUGCCCCUCCACCCUUGAAAGCAGCCAAUCUCUUCAACCAGCGGCUUAUCUGAGGCCACCCUUCUCUGCCUCAUCCCCACCGGGUGCCUCCCGGGAUGUUUGUCAACCAAAGCAAUCGCCUUAUCUGGUGGCUCUCUCGGGCACCAUCCUGCCCUUGGAAAACAUGAAUGGAUUUGCAGAAUACCUGGCCUCCGAUAGUCCUCCCGUCCCAGGAAGGGCUAGCAAGGCAGCCUCGGCUUUCUCAGAAAGAUUGUGCGAUUUCAUGCUGCUAUCGGGACCAACACGGAGGCAGCUCCUAGCCCUGGACCCUCUAGCUAAGUUCAACUUCAGGUCAAGUCAGGGGCCCCCAGCAGCUCAGAGGCACAGGAUCCACAAGGAAGGAAUUUCAGAACGUUGCCAGAAGCUAACAACAGUCCCCAGCUGUUCCUGGCCGCCUCCUGCCCGUGAAGUACUUGGAGAGGGGUCUUUACACAGACACAGCAGAAGGAGGGGUCGAGUGAACGGCUGUGCCUCUGGGCCAGGGUGGAGGGCAGGCCAAGGGGAAUAGAGGUCUCUUUGUUAUUGGCAGCUCCUGCACAGGGCCCCAAGACCCUCCUCUUGGCGGAGACCUCCCCACCACCCGGGCCCCCUGGGGGACCCUGACAUCAGUUGUAUUGACGCGCUGGGCUCCUGUAAUGACUUGCAAACCUCUGCUCCCCACUCACUCGCCUGUGGCCAGGAGCUUCCCUCCUGUAAUUCCUUUCAGAGCACAUGCUGUGAAACUCUUAAUAAAUGGCUGUUCCAGGACUGAUCUCCCUGGAGUGAAAUCGAAAACACCUACCUUAAAAUUCACUUGGGACGUCCCCCACCCCCGUCACUGCUCUUUG